rnacentral:rRNA from 1 species
UACAGAGGUCUCAAGCGUUGUUCGGAUUCAUUGGGCGUAAAGGGUGCGUAGGCGGCGCGGUAAGUCGGGUGUGAAAUCUCGGAGCUUAACUCCGAAACUGCAUUCGAUACUGCUGUGCUUGAGGACUGGAGAGGAGACUGGAAUUUACGGUGUAGCGGUGAAAUGCGUAGAUAUCGUAAGGAAGACCAGUGGCGAAGGCGGGUCUCUGGACAGUUCCUGACGCUGAGGCACGAAGGCCAGGGGAGCAAACGGG